rnacentral:rRNA from 3 species
UACGAGAGGACCGGAGUGGACGCAUCACUGGUGUUCGGGUUGUCAUGCCAAUGGCACUGCCCGGUAGCUAAAUGCGGAAGAGAUAAGUGCUGAAAGCAUCUAAGCACGAAACUUGCCCCGAGAUGAGUUCUCCCUGAGACUUAGAGUCUCCUGAAGGAACGUUGAAGACGACGACGUUGAUAGGCCGGGUGUGUAAGCGCAGCGAUGCGUUGAGCUAACCGGUACUAAUGAACCGUGAGGCUUAACCUUACAACGCCGAAG